GAUGAACGCUGGCGGCGUGCCUAAUACAUGCAAGUCGAGCGAACAGACGAGGAGCUUGCUCCUCUGACGUUAGCGGCGGACGGGUGAGUAACACGUGGAUAACCUACCUAUAAGACUGGGAUAACUUCGGGAAACCGGAGCUAAUACCGGAUAAUAUAUUGAACCGCAUGGUUCAAUAGUGAAAGACGGUUUUGCUGUCACUUAUAGAUGGAUCCGCGCCGCACUAGCUAGUUGGUAAGGUAACGGCUUACCAAGGCAACGAUGCGUAGCCGACCUGAGAGGGUGAUCGGCCACACUGGAACUGAGACACGGUCCAGACUCCGACGGGAGGCAGCAGUAGGGAAUCUUCCGCAAUGGGCGAAAGCUUGACGGAGCAACGCCGCGUGAGUGAUGAAGGUCUUCGGAUCGUAAAACUCUGUUAUUAGGGAAGAACAAAUGUGUAAGUAACUAUGCACGUCUUGACGGUACCUAAUCAGAAAGCCACGGCUAACUACGUG
rnacentral:rRNA from 1 species